CAUUAAGUGGCAAAAAACUCUUGUGUCAUUGUUCUUUAUAUAUAUAAUAAAUAAAUAUUUAAACAAAUAAAAAUCUAAAAAAUAAAUAAAUAUUUUUUUUUAAUUAUAUAAUUUCCACAUUGAACCCCAAACCCUAAACCCUAAAACUCAACUCUAAACCCUAAACCAUCAAUCCUAAACCCUAUUUUUUUAAAAUAUGAACCCUAAACCCUAAACCAUCAAUCAUAAACCCUAUUUUUUUUUGAAAUACGAAUCCUAAACCCUGAAACAUCAACUCUAAAACGUAAACCCUAAAACCUCAACUCUAAACCCUAAAUCCUAAACCUUCAACUCUAAACCCUAAACAUCAACCCUAAACCAUAAACUUCAACUUUGAACCCUAAACCAUCAACACUAAACCCUAAAUUAUCAACCCUAAACCCUAAAAAUUAAACCCUAAACCCUAAACCUUUAACUCUAAACCCUAAACAUAAACCCUAAAACCUUGUAACAUCAACUCUAAACCCUGAACUCCAAAACAUCAACUCUAAACCCUAAACCCUAAACCUUCAACUCUAAACAUUAAAACAUCAACUGUAAACCCUAAAACAUCAACUAUAAACCCUAAACC
rnacentral:lncRNA from 1 species